UGCUAGACGUUGGCGAGCUUGCUCGUCAGUGUCGCAGNUAACGCGUUAAGCACCCCNCCCUGGGGAGUACGGCCGCAAGNUUGAAACUCAAAGGAAUUGACGGGGGCCCGCACAAGCGGUGGAGCAUGUGGUUCAAUUCGACGCAACGCGAAGAACCUUACCAGCCCCUUGACAUGUGACUCGCCCGGGAGNCAGAGACGCUCCCUUCGGUUCGGCCCGGAGUCAACACAGGUGCUGCAUGGCUGUCGUCAGCUCGUGUCGUGAGAUGUUGGGUUAAGUCCCGCAACGAGCGCAACCCUCGUCUCCAGUUGCCAUCAGGUUAUGCUGGGCACUUUGGAGAAACUGCCGGUGACAAGCCGGAGGAAGGUGGGGAUGACGUCAAGUCCUCAUGGCCCUUACGGGCUGGGCUACACACGUGCUACAAUGGCGGUGACAAUGGGAUGCGAUGGCGCGAGCCGGAGCCGAUCCUAAAAAGCCGUCUCAGUUCGGAUUGCACUCUGCAACUCGAGUGCAUGAAGUUGGAAUCGCUAGUAAUCGAGGAUCAGCAUGCCUCGGUGAAUACGUUCCCGGGCCUUGUACACACCGCCCGUCACGCCAUGGGAGUUGGUUCUACCCGAAGAUGGUGCGCUAACCGCCAAGGAGGCAGCCAGCCACGGUAGGAUCNAUGACUGGGGCGAAGUCGUAACCAAGGUACC
rnacentral:rRNA from 1 species